CUGCCAUCUCAAUUGCGGGACAAAACAAAGUAAGUAGGCCGUUUUGAAGACCGGCGGCGCCCUUUGCCACAGCUGUGGCCCCGCCCUGCCUCGGCCCCCAGUCCACCCCGGAGGCGCUCUACGCAGACUGUUCAUCAACAAAGCAGAUCAUCGCUGAAACUGAGCUACCGGCAACACCAUCGUCCUAAAGCCAGUCGAGCAGUCAAUGCGGUGCCUAGUUUCCGUGGAGCCAGCGCUGCCCUGGCCAAUCACACAGAUGUCGACAAGGUAGCCUUCACCGGAUCAACGGAUGUAGAAAGACUCUGUAGAAGGCUCUGCUUCAACAUGGGCCAGUGCUGCUAUGCCGGCUCUCGCACCUAGAAGAGGACCGUGGGCACUGCCUUGGAUCUGAACACCGAGCAGGGUCCCCAGGUCAAUCCGGAGCAGAUGGAUAACAUCCUUGGAAUGAUCCAGCAGGGCAAGCAGCAGGGCGCCAAGCUGGUGGCCGGUGGUAGCCGUCCCGAAGGACUUCCCGGCCCCUUUGUCCAGCCAACGGUGUGGACAAUCUGGACUAGGCCAACUAAAUUUUCAGUGGCCUGCGUGCCGGCACUACAAUGCCCUGACUGCCCAGGCUCCUUUCGGACAAUACAACAACAUAGUUGAACAAAAAAUUCCUCGCCAAUCUUGUACGGUGGCAAGAAGCAGAAUCGUCCUAGAAGAUAAGGGCGGAAUGUGUUUCUCAUUAGACGUCCAAGUUUCGUUGAGUUUGGACCACUUUCUGGAUCAAAGUGCCAAAAGUGGGCCACAUUUCACUGUCCGCGACUGUUCGAUGUAUAAGCGCGCAAUAUUUGAAUUGAGAAUUCCUCCGAGACAAGACACCAACUAAUUUGGAUUUCCCUGUAUAAAUAAAUAAUCAAAUAAAACCAUGUUUGAUAUAGUUUUUUUUCCUUUUAAUUUUGAGAUUAUAUAUAUAUAAUAAUUAGAUUUACAUUCAUUUCUGUAUCAUUUUACUUGUUUUAUUUUAGAAAUAAAGUAAGCAUUUAUUACUAAUUCUUUUAUUCAUUUCAUUUGCUUUUCUGUUGUUGAUUUUUAGAUUUGCAUUUUAGUGCAGCAUUGUUUUCCAUUUCGUUUUGAUGAACAUUAUUAAAUACGGGGUAAUAGGGGAAUACAAAUACAACAAAAAAAAAAUAUUUUAAAUAUAAUAUUUCAUAAUGAGACGCGGGUUGUCCUACGUUCCGAUUCCUUUGCUGUGUGGUGGAGGAAUCGAGGGUGGGAGAGAGGGAGGGAGGAGGGAGAAUUUAAAAACAAACAACACAAAAACUAGACUCCAUCUAAUUUGACAUAUUUGAAAAGAAUGUAAUCCAUUCAUUGUGUGGGAAAUUCAGAAGAGUUCUAUACACAUUUGGCAUAUGUAUGUACUAUGUAGAGAUAUAUUGCAUCGUGACCACUUUUGAUAUUGAAGCUUGUUAAAAACACAAAGGAAAUGCACACACAGUACAACAAGCGGAGAUUGUUUGUUAAUGGGUUUGUUUUUUAUCAUUUGUUAACAUGCUACGAUUUAUAGAAUUUUGGUUUAAUUUAUGCUUCUCGUCUGCUACUCGACUCGAUUCGAUUAGAUUCGAUACGAUUUGAUUCGUUUCAAAUUUGUUUCUUGUUUUUCUCUUUUUCAUUGCUCUGUAUAAAAGUUCAGUAAAAAAAUGCAGCUUAACUAGGUUCUCGUUUUGUAAUUCCCUCCAAUUCGUUUGCUAUAAGGUUAGUGCUCUCCUUAUAAACGUCAUGGUGCAUCCGUACUUCCGUCUCUUUCAUUUCCAUUUCCAUUAAUUAUGCAUCAAAUGUUGUAAGCAUUGUUUUGUUUGUGUUGCUUUCGGCUUUAUUUUACAUUAAAUCAGUUAUAAUUGUUCCGGCUUCUGCUUAAAAACAUUCUUUCUGCUUCGCUUCUGCUCCGCUUCUGCUUCUGCUCUCGCUCUAAUAUUAUUUAAUUUUUUUACUUUGUUUUUAUCACUUAGUUUUUACAAUGGCGUUUUAUUUUGCUUUGCUUUGCUUUGUUUUAUUUUGUUUUGUUCUCCAUAAAAAUGAGCAUACAGACAAUUCAAUUUAUGUAUAAAUUUCCCUCUGCUUUCCACACUAACAUAUGUAAUCGUCAUCUCAUCAUCAGAAACGCACAAAUAAAUUCUAUUUGAUAAUACCAAGAACAAAA
rnacentral:sRNA from 1 species